rnacentral:rRNA from 1 species
GGAGUUAUGAAAUGCAGGUUGGUUAAUACCCAACCUGUUUGACAAAGGCCCCAAAGGAAGCCACGGCUAACUCUGUGCCAGCAGCCGCGGUAAUACAGAGGUGGCAAGCGUUGUUCGGUAUUAUUGGGCGUAAAGAGCACGUAGGUGGUUUUGUAAGUCAGAUGUGAAAGCCUUCUGUUCAAAGGAAGAACGGCAUCUGAAACUGCAGAUCUUGAGUGUAGGAGGGGAGAGUGGAACU